UACGGAGGGUGCGAGCGUUGUCCGGAAUCACUGGGCGGUAAAGGGCGCGUAGGCGGCCCGGCAAGUCUGUGGUGAAAGCUCAGGCUCAACUCUGAGUCGGCCACGGAUACUGCGGGGCUCGAGCACGGUAGAGGCAGGUGGAAUUCCGGGUGUAGCGGUGGAAUGCGUAGAGAUCCGGAAGAACACCGGUGGCGAAGGCGGCCUGCUGG
rnacentral:rRNA from 1 species